rnacentral:rRNA from 1 species
ACUCCUGCGGGAGGCAGCAGUGGGGAAUUUUGGACAAUGGGCGAAAGCCUGAUCCAGCAAUGCCGCGUGAGUGAAGAAGGCCUUCGGGUUGUAAAGCUCUUUUGUCAGGGAAGAAACGGUGAGAGCUAAUAUCUCUUGCUAAUGACGGUACCUGAUGAAUAAGCACCGGCUAACUACGUGCCAGCAGCCGCGGUAAUACGUAGGGUGCAAGCGUUAAUCGGAAUUACUGGGCGUAAAGCGUGCGCAGGCGGUUUUGUAAGUCUGAUGUGAAAUCCCCGGGCUCAACCUGGGAAUUGCAUUGGAGACUGCAAGGCUAGAAUCUGGCAGAGGGGGGUAGAAUUCCACGUGUAGCAGUGAAAUGCGUAGAUAUGUGGAGGAACACCGAUGGCGAAGGCAGCCCCCUGGGUCAAGAUUGACGCUCAUGCACGAAAGCGUGGGGAGCAAACAGGAUUAGAAACCCCAGUAGUCCCAUG